rnacentral:rRNA from 1 species
UGGCGGCGUGCCUAAUACAUGCAAGUCGAGCGAACAGAUAAGGAGCUUGCUCCUUUGACGUUAGCGGCGGACGGGUGAGUAACACGUGGAUAACCUACCUAUAAGACUGGGAUAACUUCGGGAAACCGGAGCUAAUACCGGAUAACAUAUUGAACCGCAUGGUUCAAUAGUGAAAGGCGGCUUUGCUGUCACUUAUAGAUGGAUCCGCGCCGUAUUAGCUAGUUGGUAAGGUAACGGCUUACCAAGGCAACGAUACGUAGCCGACCUGAGAGGGUGAUCGGCCACACUGGAACUGAGACACGGUCCAGACUCCUACGGGAGGCAGCAGUAGGGAAUCUUCCGCAAUGGGCGAAAGCCUGACGGAGCAACGCCGCGUGAGUGAUGAAGGUCUUCGGAUCGUAAAACUCUGUUAUCAGGGAAGAACAAAUGUGUAAGUAACUGUGCACAUCUUGACGGUACCUGAUCAGAAAGCCACGGCUAACUACGUGCCAGCAGCCGCGGUAAUACGUAGGUGGCAAGCGUUAUCCGGAAUUAUUGGGCGUAAAGCGCGCGUAGGCGGUUUUUUAAGUCUGAUGUGAAAGCCCACGGCUCAACCGUGGAGGGUCAUUGGAAACUGGAAAACU